AUGAGACUCUCGGGGGAACGUGUGAGCAGCUUGAGGACAGGACAGGCACACUGUCAUUUCUGUAUCCCAGGGCACGGUGUAAAGGCAGAGGGAUGGUUCUCCGAACAUGGCCCCUGGCCCAGCAACAUCGCUACAGAACCUUUCAGGGCACAAACGCUCAGACCUCACCCAGACCUACUGAAUCAGAACCAGGGUCACUGGAGCAGCAGCCUGAGCAUCCAGCAAUCCCCCUGUGAUUCCGAUUCAUGCUCAAGCUUGAGAUCUGCAGCAGAGAGGCUCAGAGCCUACACUUCAGCUCCAGAGCGACUCUGUCCUCUAAAGUCAGAGGACUCAGCUUCACAUCCCGGCUCUGCCAUUUUCUAGGUGUGCUUAAUCUCUUUGUGCCCUGAUCUCCUUAUCAUAACCCUAUGCGGUUAUAUUUUAUUAUAAAGAGUAAAAGAGGUAAUGUAUUAUGUGUGUUAGAAGAGUGUAAGGCCUAGUGUAAGUGUUCAGUGAAUGCUGCUCAUCAUUUUAAAGCCUCAUGAGCCACUGUAUGUAAACGGCCUUCAUUCUCCCCAUAUAUAGUGCAAUGGGCCAGCAUCUACAAUAGGCCAGCAUCUGUCUGUUAGUCAUGUCCUCCUGUCCAUCACCUGACAUUCCC
rnacentral:lncRNA from 1 species